GAUGAACGCUGGCGGCGUGCCUAAUACAUGCAAGUCGAGCGAACAGAUAAGGAGCUUGCUCCUUUGACGUUAGCGGCGGAUGGGUGAGUAACACGUGGGUAACCUACCUAUAAGACUGGGAUAACUUCGGGAAACCGGAGCUAAUACCGGAUAAUAUUUCGAACCGCAUGGUUCGAUAGUGAAAGAUGGUUUUGCUAUCACUUAUAGAUGGACCCGCGCCGUAUUAGCUAGUUGGUAAGGUAACGGCUUACCAAGGCGACGAUACGUAGCCGACCUGAGAGGGUGAUCGGCCACACUGGAACUGAGACACGGUCCAGACUCCUACGGGAGGCAGCAGUAGGGAAUCUUCCGCAAUGGGCGAAAGCCUGACGGAGCAACGCCGCGUGAGUGAUGAAGGUCUUCGGAUCGUAAAACUCUGUUAUUAGGGAAGAACAUACGUGUAAGUAACUGUGCACGUCUUGACGGUACCUAAUCAGAAAGCCACGGCUAACUACGUG
rnacentral:rRNA from 1 species